AUGUCCCUUUAUGAGAGAUUUAAAAUAGUCUUUCCUUUGUCUGCAUGCAGUCAUGCUGGCCACAUGUCCUGGCUCUUUGGCUUAGAAAUAGAGAUGAGCACUAAUCCUCAGAGUCAGACACAACUAGACUUAAUGUCAGGGGAAAACCUUUACCUUUACUUUUCUUUGUCCAUGUGGCUAAAUUCCUUCCAGCAGCUCAUGAAGCAAGAACACGCUUCAAACUUUCUCUCUCUCUCUCUCUCUCUCUCUCUCUCUGCUUUUUUCUUCCAACUGUCUCUGCACCUGGUUUGCAAAAGCCUGAACAAAAUUGCAACUGUACCAAAAACUCCCAGGCUUAACAGCUCUCCUAACAAGGCUCAACCAAUCAGCUUCAUGCAUCUUAUUUUGCAGAUGACGUACACAUAUAAACUGAUUACUCACAUAUUGAACAAUCUCCAUGCCAAAUAGAUGAGAACCAACAAUUAGAAUCCCUCCAAAACUACAAGCACUAUCUCAACCCAAUUUUGA
rnacentral:lncRNA from 11 species